rnacentral:lncRNA from 1 species
UUUCAUGUCAUUUUUUUCCAUUUUUAUUUCCUACUUCUCUCCCAUUUUUUCCAUCUCUCACAAGAGUUCCUCACACUCUUCUUCACUUUUCAUUAUAUAUAGUUCCAAUAUUCCAUUCCCUACCACACAUAACUUAACUUCUCAACUAGUUUCUAGGUUUUUUCACCAUGCAACACUGUUUCAUACAACAAAUGGUCACAAUGUUCUUCUUUAUCAUGGUUCUUCAAGGUGAGGGUUACAAUAUUCAAGAACAAAGGAAAAUGUGGUGAAUGUCAUGGCGAUAUCUCUCCUGAGCUUAUUCUUCUUACGUUUGUUUUUUGUUUUCUUUUAUUUUAUAGAUAAUUUACAAAUUUUCUUGACCUUGCAAGUCCGAGAUCUUUAAUAAUUUUGGUCAAGAUUAUUUGUAAUAAAUUUAGGUGAUAAUUUUAUACAUUAGAGUUUUUUUAAUACAUCUCAUGUAUUAUUCUCUCUCACUUGAGUUUCAUAGCUUAUUUAAGGGUUUCUUUUAGCAUAUAAGUUAUUUUAAUUUGUAACAUCUUUUGUACAACAAGAUGUAUUAAUUAUUCCUCCUAAGUUUGAAGGAGUUAUUGUAAGGAAUUUGUCAUAAUAAAAAAAGUUAUUUAA